GACGAACGCUGGCGGCGUGCCUAAUACAUGCAAGUCGAGCGGUACUUCAUUAGCUUGCUUUUGAAGAUCAGCGGCGGACGGGUGAGUAACACGUGGGCAACCUGCCUGUAAGACUGGGAUAACUUCGGGAAACCGGAGCUAAUACCGGAUAAUCCUUUUGCUCUCAUGAGUAAAAGCUAAAAGACGGCUUCUCGCUGUCACUUACAGAUGGGCCCGCGGCGCAUUAGCUAGUUGGUGAGGUAAUGGCUCACCAAGGCGACGAUGCGUAGCCGACCUGAGAGGGUGAUCGGCCACACUGGGACUGAGACACGGCCCAGACUCCUACGGGAGGCAGCAGUAGGGAAUCUUCCGCAAUGGACGAAAGUCUGACGGAGCAACGCCGCGUGAACGAUGAAGGCUUUCGGGUCGUAAAGUUCUGUUGUCAGGGAAGAACAAGUACCGGAGUAACUGCCGGUACCUUGACGGUACCUGACCAGAAAGCCACGGCUAACUACGUGCCAGCAGCCGCGGUAAUACGUAGGUGGCAAGCGUUGUCCGGAAUUAUUGGGCGUAAAGCGCGCGCAGGCGGUUCCUUAAGUCUGAUGUGAAAGCCCCCGGCUCAACCGGGGAGGGUCAUUGGAAACUGGGGAACUUGAGUGCAGAAGAGGAGAGCGGAAUUCCACGUGUAGCGGUGAAAUGCGUAGAGAUGUGGAGGAACACCAGUGGCGAAGGCGGCUCUCUGGUCUGUAACUGACGCUGAGGCGCGAAAGCGUGGGGAGCGAACAGGAUUAGAUACCCUGGUAGUCCACGCCGUAAACGAUGAGUGCUAAGUGUUAGAGGGUUUCCGCCCUUUAGUGCUGCAGCAAACGCAUUAAGCACUCCGCCUGGGGAGUACGGCCGCAAGGCUGAAACUCAAAGGAAUUGACGGGGGCCCGCACAAGCGGUGGAGCAUGUGGUUUAAUUCGAAGCAACGCGAAGAACCUUACCAGGUCUUGACAUCCUCUGACAACCCUAGAGAUAGGGCGUUCCCCUUCGGGGGACAGAGUGACAGGUGGUGCAUGGUUGUCGUCAGCUCGUGUCGUGAGAUGUUGGGUUAAGUCCCGCAACGAGCGCAACCCUUGAUCUUAGUUGCCAGCAUUUAGUUGGGCACUCUAAGGUGAGUGAAGGUGACAAACCGGUGGAAGGUGGGGAUGACGUCAAAUCAUCAUGCCCCUUAUGACCUGGGCUACACACGUGCUACAAUGGAUGGAACAAAGGGCAGCGAAGCCGCGAGGUGAAGCCAAUCCCAUAAAACCAUUCUCAGUUCGGAUUGCAGGCUGCAACUCGCCUGCAUGAAGCCGGAAUCGCUAGUAAUCGCGGAUCAGCAUGCCGCGGUGAAUACGUUCCCGGGCCUUGUACACACCGCCCGUCACACCACGAGAGUUUGUAACACCCGAAGUCGGUGGGGUAACCGGGG
rnacentral:rRNA from 1 species